UCGCAUUAGUUAGUUGGCGGUGUAACGGACCACCAAGACGACGAUGCGUAGGGGUUCUGAGAGGAAGGUCCCCCACACUGGUACUGAGACACGGACCAGACUCCUACGGGAGGCAGCAGUGAGGAAUAUUGGUCAAUGGGCGGGAGCCUGAACCAGCCAAGUCGCGUGAGGGAUGACGGCCCUAUGGGUUGUAAACCUCUUUUGCCGGGGAGCAAAGUGCCGCACGUGUGCGGUUUGGAGAGUACCCGGAGAAAAAGCAUCGGCUAACUCCGUGCCAGCAGCCGCGGUAAUACGGAGGAUGCGAGCGUUAUCCGGAUUUAUUGGGUUUAAAGGGUGCGUAGGCGGACGCUUAAGUCAGCGGUAAAAUUGCGGGGCUCAACCUCGUCGAGCCGUUGAAACUGGGUGCCUUGAGUGGGCGAGAAGUACGCGGAAUGCGUGGUGUAGCGGUGAAAUGCAUAGAUAUCACGCAGAACUCCGAUUGCGAAGGCAGCGUACCGGCGCCCAACUGACGCUGAAGCACGAAGGCGUGGGUAUCGAACAGGAUUAGAUACCCUGGUAGUCCACGCAGUAAAC
rnacentral:rRNA from 1 species